rnacentral:rRNA from 1 species
UACGGAGGGGGCAAGCGUUGUCCGGACUUACUGGGCGUAAAGGGUGCGUAGGCGGGAUGGCAAGUCGGUCGUGAAAUCCCUCGGCUCAACCGAGGAACGUCGAUCGAUACUGCUGUUCUUGAGGAUUGCAGAGGAGACUGGAAUUCCCGGUGUAGCGGUGAAAUGUGUAGAGAUCGGGAGGAACACCGGUGGCGAAGGCGGGUCUCUGGGCAAUUCCUGACGCUGAGGAGCGAAAGUGUGGGGAGCGAACAGG